rnacentral:rRNA from 2 species
AGAGUUUGAUCAUGGCUCAGAUUGAACGCUGGCGGCAGGCCUAACACAUGCAAGUCGAGCGGUAGCACAGAGAGCUUGCUCUCGGGUGACGAGCGGCGGACGGGUGAGUAAUGUCUGGGAAACUGCCUGAUGGAGGGGGAUAACUACUGGAAACGGUAGCUAAUACCGCAUAACGUCGCAAGACCAAAGUGGGGGACCUUCGGGCCUCAUGCCAUCAGAUGUGCCCAGAUGGGAUUAGCUAGUAGGUGGGGUAACGGCUCACCUAGGCGACGAUCCCUAGCUGGUCUGAGAGGAUGACCAGCCACACUGGAACUGAGACACGGUCCAGACUCCUACGGGAGGCAGCAGUGGGGAAUAUUGCACAAUGGGCGCAAGCCUGAUGCAGCCAUGCCGCGUGUGUGAAGAAGGCCUUCGGGUUGUAAAGCACUUUCAGCGGGGAGGAAGGCGGUAAGGUUAAUAACCUUGUCGAUUGACGUUACCCGCAGAAGAAGCACCGGCUAACUCCGUGCCAGCAGCCGCGGUAAUACGGAGGGUGCAAGCGUUAAUCGGAAUUACUGGGCGUAAAGCGCACGCAGGCGGUCUGUCAAGUCGGAUGUGAAAUCCCCGGGCUCAACCUGGGAACUGCAUUCGAAACUGGCAGGCUAGAGUCUUGUAGAGGGGGGUAGAAUUCCAGGUGUAGCGGUGAAAUGCGUAGAGAUCUGGAGGAAUACCGGUGGCGAAGGCGGCCCCCUGGACAAAGACUGACGCUCAGGUGCGAAAGCGUGGGGAGCAAACAGGAUUAGAUACCCUGGUAGUCCACGCCGUAAACGAUGUCGAUUUGGAGGUUGUGCCCUUGAGGCGUGGCUUCCGGAGCUAACGCGUUAAAUCGACCGCCUGGGGAGUACGGCCGCAAGGUUAAAACUCAAAUGAAUUGACGGGGGCCCGCACAAGCGGUGGAGCAUGUGGUUUAAUUCGAUGCAACGCGAAGAACCUUACCUGGUCUUGACAUCCACAGAACUUUCCAGAGAUGGAUUGGUGCCUUCGGGAACUGUGAGACAGGUGCUGCAUGGCUGUCGUCAGCUCGUGUUGUGAAAUGUUGGGUUAAGUCCCGCAACGAGCGCAACCCUUAUCCUUUGUUGCCAGCGGUCCGGCCGGGAACUCAAAGGAGACUGCCAGUGAUAAACUGGAGGAAGGUGGGGAUGACGUCAAGUCAUCAUGGCCCUUACGACCAGGGCUACACACGUGCUACAAUGGCAUAUACAAAGAGAAGCGACCUCGCGAGAGCAAGCGGACCUCAUAAAGUAUGUCGUAGUCCGGAUUGGAGUCUGCAACUCGACUCCAUGAAGUCGGAAUCGCUAGUAAUCGUAGAUCAGAAUGCUACGGUGAAUACGUUCCCGGGCCUUGUACACACCGCCCGUCACACCAUGGGAGUGGGUUGCAAAAGAAGUAGGUAGCUUAACCUUCGGGAGGGCGCUUACCACUUUGUGAUUCAUGACUGGGGUGAAGUCGUAACAAGGUAACCGUAGGGGAACCUGCGGUUGGAUCACCU